ensembl:lncRNA novel transcript
AAAACUAGUUUUGCUCAGAAGUCAUAGUAUGUUCCUUGACCCACAGAUCUGGUAGCUGGAUUCUUGCAUUGCUUCCCUAUUCUGCUAAAUUACCUGGCAGUGCAGUUCCCGCUAAGAAAAGGUCCUCAAACUCAGCCCAGGGGCUAGGAACCCUUUAUCCACCAAUGGACUAGCUUAAUUCUAUUUGACUGUAUCUCUAGGUCCCAGUUGCUUUGCUCCAUUUGUCCCUGAGCAUGGACUAAGGCAUUGAUUUCCAGGCCCAAUUAGGGCUCUGGUUCACUGUCUGGGAUGCUGCUGAGCGGGUGGUCCAGGAAACACAACUGUGGGGUUUGCAACAAGCCCUGGCCCAGCGCACGUGGCAUCACAGGGGAAGUUAGGUUUGCAUCUAGAAAGAGAUCUAGUCCGAGCGUGGAGAAGGCAGAACCAAACCCACAUGGUUGAGACCCACAUCUCAGUUCAGCAGUUCCAGAGAUCCUGCAAGCCCUAGAGCCUUUGCAGGCAGGGAUCAGUUCUUUGCUCUUUGAAACGAGAUGAUCCAUCUCACACUGAAAGUUUCCUAUCGUGAGGUUCAGUGUCAUCUAGAGUCAACGGAUGAAGUAUAAGUGUUCACUGUGGAAUUUCUACAACACAAAAAGAAGAGGCUGGAUAAAGAAGAUAAACUGAAUAUUGAAACUGUUCCUUUUCCAUUAAAAAAUAGC